CCUACGGGUGGCUGCAGUGGGGAAUAUUGGACAAUGGGCGAAAGCCUGAUCCAGCCAUGCCGCGUGUGUGAAGAAGGCCUUCGGGUUGUAAAGCACUUUCAGUGGGGAAGAAAGCCUUGGGGCUAAUACCCUCGAGGAAGGACAUCACCCACAGAAGAAGCACCGGCUAACUCCGUGCCAGCAGCCGCGGUAAUACGGAGGGUGCGAGCGUUAAUCGGAAUUACUGGGCGUAAAGCGCGCGUAGGCGGUCUGAUAAGCCGGUUGUGAAAGCCCCGGGCUCAACCUGGGAACGGCAUCCGGAACUGUCAGGCUAGAGUGCAGGAGAGGAAGGUAGAAUUCCCGGGGUAGCGGUGAAAUGCGUAGAGAUCGGGAGGAAUACCAGUGGGGAAGGCGGCCUUCUGGACUGACACUGACGCUGAGGUGCGAAAGCGUGGGUAGCAAACAGGAUUAGAUACCCGAGUAGUC
rnacentral:rRNA from 1 species